CAGUAGCCGCGGUAAAACGGAGGGAGCUAGCGUUAUUCGGAAUUACUGGGCAUAAAGCGCACGUAGGCGGCUUUGUAAGUUAGAGGUGAAAGCCUGGAGCUCAACUCCAGAAUUGCCUUUAAGACUGCAUCGCUUGAAUCCAGGAGAGGUGAGUGGAAUUCCGAGUGUAGAGGUGAAAUUCGUAGAUAUUCGGAAGAACACCAGUGGCGAAGGCGGCUCACUGGACUGGUAUUGACGCUGAGGUGCGAAAGCGUGGGGAGCAAACAGGAUUAGAUACCCGCGUAGUCCCUGUCUCUUAUAA
rnacentral:rRNA from 1 species